AGCUGGGCUGAGAAUGAAUUACAGGAAGAAAGGCAGGAAGAAAAAGAAAGAGCUCUGGGGCUAUUCAUUCUUUGUGUACGGGACGCAUUGAAGAAAGUACUGAGUCCCACGUCACCAACCCAGCUGGAAAACGUGGGGGCAACCGAAGCAGUGGGAACAUGAGUCACCAGCUACUAACUCCCAGGAGCUCCAUAUUUGGGAGCCCAGCUUGUCGUUUUUCGGAUGGAGUCUCGCGGGUUCUGGGGCUGCCGCUAGCUUCAGCCCAAUGUGGAACCCACAAGGCCAGUCCCUGAAUCACAGGCCUGCUCGGAGUAGGACACUGUACGAAGCUCUGCUGAAGUUUUCCUGUGCUGAAGCAAGCAAUGUUUCUCCAGCACCUCUCAUGUGCCAGGAACACAGCAGGAGCAAAACCAAGUCCAGUACCCACCCACGGAGCCAACGCUUCCGAGAAAGAAACAGAUUGUGAGCCAGUCCGUCAGCCUGCACUGCAUCAGGUGGUGUUGAGCACAGACAAAGAAAGAAAGAAAGAAAGAAAGAAAGAAACCCAAAACACAAUGAAGAAAGAGGUCAAUUAAGUAAACCAGUUACUUAAAGCCAACAAAGAAACAAGCAUCAGCAAGCAGUCCUGUCUUCCCAAAUUAUUUCUUUUGAAAUCAAACACCUUCAUUAAGUGGUUCUUUGAACUGUUUUGCCAUAGAAAUAAAAAAAUAAAAACUUAUGAAGAAACUGAAAUAACUAUGUACAAAAUGCCCUGGUGACUUUAUUUUAAAUACAAUUGUGUGCAAUUUGCUAAUCUUCAUUGUCAUCUAUAACUGAAUUGUAUGUGCUUUUGAAAGCUAUGUAAUUAAUGACAUCUAUAUGACUGUUAAAAUGUGUCUGCAGUUGGUCAUCAUAUAAUUUAGAUCUGAGGUCCUCAGUGGAAGAUGAAGUCCAAGAAGUCAGAACCUCUGUUCCUCUUUUCACUAUAUCCCAGUACCAUAUGUAUAUGGAAGACUGGAUAUGAUUGACUUGAGUUGUAUCUGCAAUGCUUCUUGAAGGCAUGAAAACUACGGCAGGUGUUUUUAAUUACUCAGACCUCCACCCUCCAAUAUGUAAGCUCCUUGAGAAUGGGGAUUUUGUCUGGCUGGUUUUCCUGCUGAAUCCCCAGCACCUAAUAUGGUGCCCAACCCAAACAGAGCCCUUAACAGAUACUCAAUAAAUAUUAGUAACUACUAAGUUA